AUGUUGGCGACCAAAGGCCGGAUUCAGGGACGUGUGCUGCUUGUGCUACUCGCGUUACGUGGGCAAACUGCUCGCUGUCAUCAUCGAUACAAAGGCUCUGCGACCCGUGAAGAACUGAGACUCCUUCUGGUCGGUAAAACAGGCUCGAGAAAGAGUGCGUCCGGAAACACCAUCCUGGGGGAUGCGUACGCUUUCAAAGAGGACGUUUCGCCCGAGUCUCUCACCGACAGCUGUCUCAGAAAAGAGGCAGAGGGCGACAAACUGGUGGGAGAGGAUGUGGUGAAAAUCGGCCAGCUGCGGCUGGUCACAGAGUGUUACAAAGGAGAUUACUGAGAUUCGUUUGUAACAAAAGGCUGAUUCUUUCAAUGCACGCAUCCUACGGUGAGAUUUAUAUCAUGUAUUCACAGCCACCAGAGGCGCUGUACAGCACCGAGUGCCUGAAACACAGACAGUUUGUUGAUAUUUUUUAAUGUAAACCUUCUUUUUUUUUCAUGUAAACCUGUUCUUGACAUAUCUACUGAGAUUCGUUUGUCUUGAAAGGCUGAUUCAACCCCGUUGUUGACUUUUAUUUUGCCUUCCAGAUUGCCUCAGUUGUAUCGUGAGUGUAAUUUCAAAUAAAUUAAAAUAAAACUCAGAAGCAUCUGUGUGUUGUAUUCUUCUUCUUCUUCUUCUUCUCAUUAUUAUUAUUAUUAUUAUUAUUAUUAUUAUUAUUAUUAUUAUUACCAUUAUUAUUAUUAUUAUUGUGAUUAUGCUUCAUUUUCAUGUACUGGGGUAUCAAUGACCCCCAUGGUGCCGCAGCAGCUUCUGUGCGUGGUCCCCAAGUGCUACGUUUUCUUUCCCGAUCCCCUGACGAACCCAUUAGAAUCGCUCUGGG
rnacentral:lncRNA from 1 species